AUUUAUUUCUAGGUAUUUUUGUGGCUACUACAAAUAGGAUUUCUUUCUAGAUUUCUUCUUCAGAUAGUUUGCUAUUAUUGUACAGAGGUGCUAGUGAUUUCUGUAUGUUCAUUUUGUAUUCUGAAAUUUUACUGAAUUCCAGAGGGGUAGAUUCUAGUGUGAUAAAUAGGACCUGCAAAUGGAACUAUUCUGCCAAUCAUAUUUCUACCUGAAAUCCUAUAUACUGUGAAGGGGAUUCAACAAGUGAAAGUAAGGUACAGAUUGGUGAGAAGAUCUCACAUGAAACUCAAUGCGU
rnacentral:lncRNA from 1 species